AUCAACGCUGGCGGCGUGCCUCAGACAUGCAAGUCGAACGCGAAAGUUCCCUUCGGGGAGCGAGUAGAGUGGCGCACGGGUGAGUAACACGUGGAUAAUUUGCCUUCGGGUGGGGAAUAACAACCGGAAACGGUUGCUAAUACCGCAUAAUGCAGCGGCAUCUAUGAUGACAGUUGUUAAAGCGGGGGAUCGCAAGACCUCGCGCCUGAAGAGAAGUCCGCGGCAGAUUAGCUAGUUGGUAGGGUAAUGGCCUACCAAGGCGACGAUCUGUAGCCGGCCUGAGAGGGCGGUCGGCCACACUGACACUGACAUACGGGUCAGACUCCUACGGGAGGCAGCAGUCGGGAAUUUUGGGCAAUGGGCGAAAGCCUGACCCAGCAACGCCGCGUGAAGGAUGAAGCAUUUCGGUGUGUAAACUUCACAAGAUUGGGAAGAAUAAGUUGAGGAUAAUACCCUUAACGAU
rnacentral:rRNA from 1 species